CCUACGGGUGACAGCAGUGAGGAAUAUUGGUCACUGGCCGGAAGGCUGAACCAGCCAAGUCGCGUGAGGGACGACUGCCCUAUGUGUUGUAAACCUCUUUUUUCAGGGAAGAAUCACUGCUAUGUGUCGCCUGCUGCCUGUACCUUAUGAAUAAGCAUCGGCUAACUCCGUGCCAGCAGCCGCGGUAAGACGGAGUGUGCGAGCGUUAAUCGGACUUACUGGGCGUAAAGCGCGCGUAGGCGGUCUAGCAAGUCAAGGGUUAAAUCCCCGGGCGUAACGUGGGAACUGCCUUUGAAACUGGCAAACUGGAGUGUGUGAGAGGAUAGUGGAAUUCGAGGUGUAGGAGUGAAAUCCGUAGAUAUCGGGAGGAACAUCAGUGGCGAAGGCGACUAGCUGGAACAUAACUGACGCUGAGGAGCGAAAGCGUGGGUAGCAAACAGGAUUAGAUACCCUUGUAGUC
rnacentral:rRNA from 1 species